rnacentral:rRNA from 1 species
UACGUAGGGGGGCAAGCGUUGUCCGGAAUCAUUGGGCGUAAAGCGCGUGUAGGCGGCCCGGUAAGUCCGCUGUGAAAGUCGGGGGGCUCAACCCUCGGAUGCCGGUGGAUACUGUCGAGCUUGAGUACGGAAGAGGCGAGUGGAAUUCCUGGUGUAGCGGUGAAAUGCGCAGAUAUCAGGAGGAACACCAAUUGCGAAGGCAGCUCGCUGGGACGUUACUGACGCUGAGACGCGAAAGCGUGGGGAGCAAACAGG